AUUGAACGCUGGCGGAAUGCUUUACACAUGCAAGUCGAACGGCAGCACGGGGCAACCUGGUGGCGAGUGGCGAACGGGUGAGUAAUACAUCGGAACGUGCCCAAUCGUGGGGGAUAACGUAGCGAAAGUUACGCUAAUACCGCAUACGAUCUACGGAUGAAAGCGGGGGAUCGCAAGACCUCGCGCGAGUGGAGCGGCCGAUGUCAGAUUAGGUAGUUGGUGGGGUAAAGGCUCACCAAGCCAACGAUCUGUAGCUGGUCUGAGAGGACGACCAGCCACACUGGAACUGAGACACGGUCCAGACUCCUACGGGAGGCAGCAGUGGGGAAUUUUGGACAAUGGGCGCAAGCCUGAUCCAGCCAUUCCGCGUGCAGGAUGAAGGCCUUCGGGUUGUAAACUGCUUUUGUACGGAACGAAACGGCGAGCUCUAAUACAGUUUGCUAAUGACGGUACCGUAAGAAUAAGCACCGGCUAACUACGUG
rnacentral:rRNA from 1 species